AACGUAGGAGGCGAGCGUUAUCCGGAGUUACUGGGCGUAAAGCGCGUGUAGGUGGCUUGUUACGUCUGCUGUGAAAGCUCCCGGCUUAACCGGGACUAGGCGGUAGAUACGGGCAAGCUAGAGGGUGACAGAGGAGCGUAGAAUUCCGGGUGUAGUGGUGAAAUACGUAGAGAUCCGGAGGAAUACCAGUGGCGCAAGCGGCGCUCUGGGUCGAGCCUGACACUGAGACGCGAAAGCGUGGGGAGCAAACAGG
rnacentral:rRNA from 1 species